GUACACUCCUGCGGGAGGCAGCAGUGGGGAAUAUUGGACAAUGGGCGCAAGCCUGAUCCAGCCAUGCCGCGUGAGUGAUGAAGGCCCUAGGGUUGUAAAGCUCUUUCACCGGUGAAGAUAAUGACGGUAACCGGAGAAGAAGCCCCGGCUAACUUCGUGCCAGCAGCCGCGGUAAUACGAAGGGGGCUAGCGUUGUUCGGAUUUACUGGGCGUAAAGCGCACGUAGGCGGACUAUUAAGUCAGGGGUGAAAUCCCGGGGCUCAACCCCGGAACUGCCUUUGAUACUGGUAGUCUUGAGUUCGAGAGAGGUGAGUGGAAUUCCGAGUGUAGAGGUGAAAUUCGUAGAUAUUCGGAGGAACACCAGUGGCGAAGGCGGCUCACUGGCUCGAUACUGACGCUGAGGUGCGAAAGCGUGGGGAGCAAACAGGAUUAGAUACCCGUGUAGUCCCAUG
rnacentral:rRNA from 1 species